AGAGUUUGAUUCUGGCUCAGAACGAACGCUGGCAGCGUGGAUUAGGCAUGCAAGUCGAACGGUAAGCUUUUUCUUCAAUCUUUCGGGAAAGAAGAGAGAGUGGAUAGUGGCGAAAGGGUGAGGAACACGUGGGCAAUCUGCCUCAAAGUUGGGGAUAACCUUGGGAAACUGGGGAUAAUACCGGAUGUGAUCAUCUACCGCAUGGUGGAAUGAUUAAAGGUGGGGAAUCUUAGGAUCCUGCCGCUUAGAGAGGAGCCCGCGUCCCAUCAGCUUGUUGGUAAGGUAACGGCUUACCAAGGCUUACGGGUAGCUGGUCUGAGAGGAUGGUCAGCCACACUGGGACUGAGACACUGCCCAGACUCCUACGGGAGGCUGCAGUCGAGAAUCAUUCGCAAUGCACGAAAGUGUGACGAUGCGACGCUGCGUGGAGGAUGACGGCCCUAGGGUUGUAAACUCCUGUCAUUCAGGAAAAAUGGUUCGAGUAAUAAUACUACUCGGACGUGAUGGUACUGAAAGAGGAAGCCACGGCUAACUCUGUGCCAGCAGCCGCGGUAAUACAGAGGUGGCGAGCGUUGUUCGGAUUUACUGGGCGUAAAGGGUGCGUAGGUGGUCAUGUAUGUCGGGUGUGAAAUCCCACGGCUCAACCGUGGAACCGCAUUCGAAACUGUAUGACUUGAGUAUAGGAUGGGAGAGCGGAAUUCUUGGUGUAGCGGUGAAAUGCGUUGAUAUCAAGAAGAACACCGGCGGCGAAGGCGGCUCUCUGGAAUAUUACUGACACUGAGGCACGGAAGCUGGGGGAGCAAACAGGAUUAGAUACCCUGGUAGUCCCAGCCGUAAACGGUGUACACUUGGUGUAGGGGGAAUUGACCCCCCCUGUGCCGGAGCUAACGCGUUAAGUGUGCCGCCUGGGGAGUACGGCCGCAAGGCUAAAACUCAAAGAAAUUGACGGGGGCCCGCACAAGCGGAGGAGCAUGUGGCUUAAUUCGAUGCAACGCGAAGAACCUUACCAGGGCUUGACAUAUACCUGCGCGCCCCGUGAAAGCGGGGAAGCCUUCGAGGGUGGUAUACAGGUGCUGCAUGGCUGUCGUCAGUUCGUGCCGUGAGGUGUUGGGUUAAGUCCCGCAACGAACGCAACCCUUGUGUUUAGUUGCCACUCCUGGUGUUAAGCUAGGAAGCACUCUAAACAGACUGCCCGUGUAAGCGGGAGGAAGGUGGGGAUGACGUCAAGUCAGUAUGGCCCUUACGCCCUGGGCUGCACACGUGCUACAAUGGUAGGUACAAUGGGAUGCUAAGCUGCGAGGUGGAGCAAAUCCUCAAAACCUGCCCCAGUUCGGAUUGGAGUCUGCAACUCGACUCCAUGAAGUUGGAUUCGCUAGUAACGGCGUAUCAGCUACGACGCCGUGAAUACGUUCCCGGGCCUUGUACACACCGCCCGUCACAUCAUGAAAGCCGUCUGCACCCGAAGUCGCUGAGCCAAUCUUUUACGAGAAGGCAGGUGCCUAAGGUGUGGGUGGUGAUUGGGAUGAAGUCGUACCAAGGUA
rnacentral:rRNA from 1 species